rnacentral:rRNA from 1 species
GUGGGGAAUAUUGGGCAAUGGGGGAAACCCUGACCCAGCGACGCCGCGUGAGGGAAGACGGCCUUCGGGUUGUAAACCUCUUUUGUACGGGAAGAAGGAAGUGACGGUACUGUACGAAUAAGUCCCGGCUAACUACGUGCCAGCAGCCGCGGUAAUACGUAGGGGACGAGCGUUGUCCGGAAUUACUGGGCGUAAAGGGCGCGCAGGCUGUGCUGCAAGUCAGCUGUGAAAUGUCUGGGCUUAACCCGGGCAUGCGGUUGAGACUGCAGUGCUGGAGUGCUGUAGAGGCAAGUGGAAUUCCCAGUGUAGCGGUGAAAUGCGUAGAUAUUGGGAAGAACACCGGUGGCGAAGGCGACUUGCUGGGCAGCAACUGACGCUGAGGCGCGAAAGCCAGGGGAGCAAACGGGAUUAGAAACCCCAGUAGUCC